rnacentral:rRNA from 1 species
UUUCCGCAAUGGGCGAAAGCCUGACGGAGCAAUACCGCGUGAGGGAGGAAGGCUCUUGGGUUGUAAACCUCUUUUCUCAGGGAAGAAAAAAAUGACGGUACCUGAGGAAUAAGCAUCGGCUAACUCCGUGCCAGCAGCCGCGGUAAUACGGAGGAUGCAAGCGUUAUCCGGAAUGAUUGGGCGUAAAGGGUCCGCAGGUGGCUAUGUAAGUCUGCUGUUAAAGAAUGAGGCUUAACCUCAUCAGAGCGGUGGAAACUACACAGCUAGAGUGCGUUCGGGGUAGAGGGAAUUCCUGGUGUAGCGGUGAAAUGCGUAGAUAUCAGGAAGAACACCAGUGGCGAAAGCGCUCUACUAGGCCGCAACUGACACUGAGGGACGAAAGCUAGGGGAGCGAAAGGGAUUAGAUAC